GGGUUUAUUUGUGACACAGAGUAGGGAAAUAAUAAUUCCACAUUCUGUGUCACAUGUAAUCUAGCGGCAAACGGGUGCGUAACACGUUGAUAUCUCCCCCGAAGUCAGGGAUAGCCUCGAGAAAUCGAGAGUAAUACCGGAUAGUCCCGUAAGGGUAAAGGAGCAAUUCGCUUCGGGAAGAGUCUGCGGCCUAUCAGCUAGUUGGCGGGGUAAUAGCCCACCAAGGCAAUGACGGGUAGCUGGUCUGAGAGGACGGCCAGCCACAAUGGAACUGAGACACGGUCCAUACUCCUACGGGAGGCAGCAGUGAGGAAUCUUCCACAAUGGGCGAAAGCCUGAUGGAGCGACACCGCGUGAAGGAUGAAGCCUUUGUUGGUGUAAACUUCUUUUCUCUGGGAAGAUAAUGACGGUACCAGAGGAAUAAGGGGCGGCAAACUUCGUGCCAGCAGCCGCGGUAAUACGAAGGCCCCAAGCGUUAUCCGGAAUUACUGGGCGUAAAGCGUCUGUAGGUGGUCUGGAAAGUCUCAAGUCAAAGGUCAGGGCUCAACCCUGUACUUGCUUGGGAAACUAUCAGACUUGAGUGCGGGAGAGGCAAGCAGAACUGUAUGAGUAGGGGUGCAAUCCGUUGAUACAUACAAGAAUACCAAAAGCGAAGGCAGCUUGCUGGAACGCCACUGACACUGAGAGACGAAAGCGUGGGGAGCGAAAGGGAUUAGAUACCCCUGUAGUCCACGCCCUAAACGAUGGAUGCUAAGUGUCGGGCUUUGCCCGGUGCUUCAAGCUAACGCAUUAAGCAUCCCGCCUGAGGAGUACGGCCGCAAGGUUAAAACUCAAUGAAUAGACGGGGACCCGCACAAGCAGUGGAUCAUGUGGUUUAAUUCGACACUAAACGAGGAACCU
rnacentral:rRNA from 1 species